rnacentral:rRNA from 1 species
CGCUGGCGGCGUGCUUAACACAUGCAAGUCGAACGAAGAGCGAUGGAAGCUUGCUUCUAUCAAUCUUAGUGGCGAACGGGUGAGUAACGCGUAAUCAACCUGCCCUUCAGAGGGGGACAACAGUUGGAAACGACUGCUAAUACCGAAUAAUUUCCAAGAGCCGCAUGGCCCAAGGAAGAAAAGGUGGCCUCUACCUGUAAACUAUCGCCUGAAGAGGGGUUUGCGUCUGAUUAACUGGUUGGAGGGGUAACGGCCCACCAAGGCGACUAUCAGUAUCCGGUCUGAGAGGAUGAACGGCCACACUGGAACUGACACACGGUCCAGACUCCUACGGAAGGCAGCAGUGUGGGAAUCUUCCGCGAUGGGCGAAAGCCUGACGGAGCAACACCGCGUGAGUGAUGACGGCCUUCUGGUUGUAAAACUCUGUGAUCCAGGACGAAAAGGCAGAAUGCGAAGAACAAACUGCAUUGACGGUAGCAGAGGAUGAAGCUCCGGCUAACUACGUGCCAACAGCCGCGGUAAUACGUACGGAGCAAGCGUUGUCCGGAUUUAAUGGGUGUAAAGGGUGCGUAAGUGGAUUGUGAAGUCAGAACUGAAAUCCAUGGGCUUAAGCCAUGAACUGCUUUUGUAACUGUUAGUCUUGAGUGAAGUAGAUGUAGGCGGAAUUCCCGGUGUAGCGGUGAAAUGCACUAGAGAUCAGCAGGAACACCAGUGGCGAAAGCGGCCUACUGGGCUUUAUCUGACGCUGAGGCACGACAGUGUGUGUAGCAAACAGGAUUAGAUACGUAGUUAGUGCACACUGUAAAGGAUGAUUAGUAGGUGUGGUGGGUCUAACGCGCCUCAGUGCCGGAGUUAACACAAUAAGUAAUCCACGUGGGGAGUACGACAGCAAGGUUGAAACUCAAAGGAAUUGACGGGGCACCGCACAAGCAGUGGAGUAUGUGGUUUAAUUCGACGCAACGCGAAGAACCUUACCAGGUCUUGACAUCCAAAUAAAGAAGCAGAGAUGCAUUAGGUGCCAUUCGGGGAAAGCUGAGACAGGUGGUGCAUGGUAGUCGUCAGCUUGUGUCGUGAGAUGAUGGGUUAAGUCCGAGCAACGAGCGCAUCCCUUGUGAUUAGUUGGUUCGCAAGAGCACUCUAAUCAGACUGCCGUUGACAAAACGGAGGAAGGUGGGGACGACGUCAAAUCAUCAUGCCCUUUAUGACCUGGGCUACACACGUACUACAAUGGUCGUUAACAGAGGGAAGCAAUACCGCGAGGUGGAGCAAAACCAUAAAAACGGUCUCAGUUCAGAUUGUAGUCUGCAACUCGCCUACAUGAAGUUGGAAUUGCUAGUAAUCGCGGAUCAGCAUGCCGCGGUGAAUACGUUCCCGGGCCUUGUACACACCGCCCGUCACACCAUGGGGGCCGGUAAUACCCGAAGUCAGUAGUUUAACCGUAAGGAGAGCGCUGCCGAAGGUAGGAUUGGUGACUGGGGU